GCCAUUACAUUUGAAGAAACAAAUGCCUUUCUUUUUAAGGGAAGACUUUGUUUACUUGGUUUCUAACAGUUAGUUCAGCAGGCAGUGAUCUAUGAGGAGGUGAUGCCCAUGAAAGGAUGAAGUGGCUGAGAAGGUGGAAAUUCAGCUUUUCCACUGUAACUCUGACUUUGGACAGGUAUCCUUUCUGUACCUCAGUUUUCUCACUUGUCAAAUGAAGAUGCCAACAUUAUUUAUCAGGCAAUUUAUAAUGCAUUCAAUAUGCAAUGGAAGAGAAUCUAUAGACAUAAAAUGACUGAGAGUUUUCCUUCUGCUCUCCAGAAAAUGUCCUUCUACAAGUAGUGC